rnacentral:piRNA from 1 species
CCUGUAUCUACGGACCACGGAGCGUUUGG